UAACCUUGCGGCCGUACUCCCCAGGCGGAGUGCUUAACGCGUUAACUACGUCACCGAAGCGCAUGCGCCCCGACAACUAGCACUCAUCGUUUACGGCGUGGACUACCAGGGUAUCUAAUCCUGUUCGCUCCCCACGCUUUCGCACCUCAGCGUCAGUAUCGGACCAGGUAGCCGCCUUCGCCACCGGUGUUCUUCCAAAUAUCUACGAAUUUCACCUCUACACUUGGAAUUCCACUACCCUCUUCCGAACUCAAGCAUAUCAGUAUCAAAGGCAGUUCCUAGGUUGAGCCCAGGCCUUUCACCUCUAACUUAAUAUGCCGCCUACGUGCGCUUUACGCCCAGUAAAUCCGAACAACGCUAGCCCCCUCCGUAUUACCGCGGCUGCUGGCACGGAGUUAGCCGGGGCUUCUUUACCGGCUACAGUCAUCAUCUUCACCGGCGAAAGAGUUUUACAACCCUAAGGCCUUCUUCACUCACGCGGCAUUGCUGGAUCAGGGUUUCCCCCAUUGUCCAAUAUUCCCCA
rnacentral:rRNA from 1 species